GUUGACCUCGGAUCAGGUAGGGAUACCCGCUGAACUUAAGCAUAUCAAUAAGCGGAGGAAAAGAAACCAACAGGGAUUGCCUUAGUAACGGCGAGUGAAGCGGCAACAGCUCAAAUUUGAAAGCUGGCCCUCUCACGGUCCGCGUUGUAAUUUGUAGAGGAUGAUUCGGCGAGGGCUCCCGCCUAAGUCCCCUGGAACGGGGCGUCAUAGAGGGUGAGAAUCCCGUAUGCGGUGGGCUGCCUUAGCCAUGUGAAUCUCCUUCGACGAGUCGAGUUGUUUGGGAAUGCAGCUCUAAAUGGGAGGUAAAUUUCUUCUAAAGCUAAAUACUGGCCAGAGACCGAUAGCGCACAAGUAGAGUGAUCGAAAGAUGAAAAGCACUUUGGAAAGAGAGUUAAAAAGCACGUGAAAUUGUUGAAAGGGAAGCGCUUGCAACCAGACUUGUCCGCAGUUGCUCAGCCGGUCUCCUGACCGGCGUACUCUUCUGCGGCCAGGCCAGCAUCAGUUCGGGCGGUCGGAUAAAGACCCCGGGAAUGUAGCUCCCCUCGGGGAGUGUUAUAGCCCGGGGUGGAAUGCGGCCAGCCUGGACUGAGGAACUCGCUUCGGCAAGGAUGCUGGCGUAAUGGUUGUAAGCGGCCCGUCUUGAAACACGGACCAAGGAGUCUAACAUCUAUGCGAGUGUUUGGGUGUCAAACCCAUACGCGUAAUGAAAGUGAACGGAGGUGGGAACCCGCAAGGGCGCACCAUCGGCCGAUCCUGAUGUCUUCGGAUGGAUUUGAGCAAGAGCAUAGCUGUUGGGACCCGAAAGAUGGUGAACUAUGCCUGAAUAGGGUGAAGCCAGAGGAAACUCUGGUGGAGGCUCGCAGCGGUUCUGACGUGCAAAUCGAUCGUCAAAUUUGGGUAUAGGGGCGAAAGACUAAUCGAACCAUUAAGACGAGUAGUUUUACCUCGACUACUAGGUGGUUGAUAGGUGGUGUAAAAGGCACCAUCUAGUCGUUCUAUCUACGGCGACACCUCCAAAUUGACGGGGACUCCCUUAGAGUCCAGGCUACCGCGGCCCGCCGAAAGGUAGGGUGCAGCACCAGGUUAACAACCUCGGGGAUGGUAAAAAAGCCUGGAAUUGGGUAAUCCGCAGCCAAGCUCCUAACCCUCUGCGCGAGGCAUGGAGAAGGUUCACAGACUAGACGGUGGUGGGCCCGGGCACGCAGCCGGGUCUAAGAUAUAGUCGGUCCCCCAUGGAAACGUGGGGCGCUAGGACAAAGCUCACCAGGCAGGUAGGCGUCGAAACGGCGUGCCUGUGGGCCCGAAUCCUAGCGGGGAGAUGUUAUGGGCCU
rnacentral:rRNA from 1 species